rnacentral:rRNA from 1 species
GGGUUGUGAGGUUAAGCGACUAAGCGUACACGGUGGAUGCCCUGGCAGUCAGAGGCGAUGAAGGACGUGCUAAUCUGCGAUAAGCGUCGGUAAGGUGAUAUGAACCGUUAUAACCGGCGAUUUCCGAAUGGGGAAACCCAGUGUGAUUCGUCACACUAUCAUUAACUGAAUCCAUAGGUUAAUGAGGCGAACCGGGGGAACUGAAACAUCUAAGUACCCCGAGGAAAAGAAAUCAACCGAGAUUCCCCCAGUAGCGGCGAGCGAACGGGGAGGAGCCCAGAGCCUGAAUCAGUGUGUGUGUUAGUGGAAGCGUCUGGAAAGGCGCG